AAAGUCAAACCAGAAGAUGAUAAGUGUCAGGACUCUUCUCCUGAAGAAGGAUUCUCUCUGAAGGGUGGAAAGUCUGAGCACAGUAACACCUCUGCUUCUCCUCCUUGCUUCCCAGUUUGUGGGAACUGGCAUUCCAAAAAUGUUUAGUAGUUGUCUGAGGAGAACUGGGUUCAUUUCAGCAUCUGCUAGAAGAAAAUGCAACCUUUCCCCCACCCCACUUCCAUUAUUUCCUAUGUGAAGUGGGGACAAAAGGAGCUGACUUCCAGUGCAUGAAUUACUCUCUCAGAGAAGAGCUCAGUGCUGCAGGUGAUGACUCAGACUGCUGUUUUUCCAGCACGACUGGGAUCAUGCAUGUUUGCUCUUUGCCAGAUGGCUGCAUGUGUUGUGGAAGGAGUGCUGAGGUGGAUAGGAGGGAGAAGGGACAAGGCCUGCAGCUCACAGGAUAUCAUUCGAUGUGAGGCAGAGGAUGGGACGUGUAUUCUGAGUGGAGAAAAAGCAUCGAGGAAAACCAAACAUUUUGAUCUUCAUUUAUGUGGGAAAAUGAGGCCGACAUGUGAAAUACAGCAACCCAGGCUGCAGCCACCCGGAGCAUGCAGGGGGUUAAACAGCCCUUAACCCCUCCACUUGACCUUGCCCAUCUUCGUAUUUCAGCACAGACAGUGGCACAGCUGCACAGCAGUCCUCGCUGGGGAGCAGCCCGGUGAGAAAUAACAUGGACAGGGGAAUGGGUGCAAUACAGGAGCAUGCUUAGAGGCAGGAAUGGAUGGCCAUCAUCUUUGUCAUGUGGCUGGUGAUCACUGGACUGCUCAGAGCUUGUUUUGUAUGGAACAAGGAAGAUGCACCUGGUCUUUGGAUUCCAUGACAAAGCAACACUGCUUUGGAUUCACUGCCUUAAUAGUAAUUUCAAACAGUAAUAGUGUUGGAGUCAAUGGGACUGCAAACAAAGCAUGAAGAAAACACGUCUCUGCAAGGUCAGGAAGAAGAGUAGUUACACUUAUUGACCUCAGGAGAAAAAGAUGAUUCGAUUUUGAAAGG
rnacentral:lncRNA from 7 species